rnacentral:lncRNA from 1 species
CCUGCAGGGGGAGUGAAGGGCCAGGAGGAGGAGGAUAACGACGACUCUGGUGCUGAACAGAGCAAGCUCCAUGGCUGCAGAGAAGGAAACCAAGGAAAACCGAGGGUCUUUGGUGCUCUGAUGAAGCGAACGGGGAAUCUAAGGAGAAGGGGAAGACCAGACGACUUUGAGAUCAAACGCCAUGAACUUGCAGAUGGUUUCCUAUGAGACCUUAUCGAUGCGUCCCGACGAAGCACAUCUCGUGAGGAAAAAGAUUGGGAUUGGAUCGCGUCGAAGCUGGCAAACGCAAAAGAUUGAACGCGGAAGAACCUCGUCGACUCCCUGUCUUCCCCCUCCGGCCUUCUCUUCGACGCCCGCCUCCUAGCAGGCGAGUAGGGAAUAAACAACACCGGAAAACCAGGGCACCAAAAUCUUCCCCGAGAGGGGAGGAGGAGGCAAAAGGGGGAGAGAAAACAGAAGCAGCCCGGCACGGAGAGCGCAGGAGGAACAACCAAAGAACCCGAGGAUUUGGAUCAAUUUCUCGGUGGAGAAGAGAUAAAUCCGAGCACCAGCAGCCCAGGAUAGAGAAGCCGUCACUCAAAAGCAAGCGACCCCCUGAUUCCGCCUCCCGGCGAAAAGGAGAGAGGAGUCGAGAACAGAAGAGCUCCUGUCGAAAAAGGACCAAGGAUG